CCUACGGGUGGCUGCAGUGGGGAAUAUUGGACAAUAGGGGGAACCCUGAUCCAGCGACGCCGCGUGAGUGAAGAAGUAUUUCGGUUUGUAAAGCUCUAUCAGCAGGGAAGAACAUGACGGUACCUGACUAAGAAGCGCCGGCUAACUACGUGCCAGCAGCCGCGGGAAUACGUAGGGGGCAAGCGUUAUCCGGAUUUACUGGGUGUAAAGGGGGCGUAGACGGUGGAGAAAGUCUGAUGUGAAAGGUCGGGGCCCAACCCCGGGACUGCAUUGGAAACGGUUGAACUGGUGUACAGGAGAGGUAAGCGGAAUUCCAGGUGUAGCGGUGAAAGGCGUAGAUAUUAGGAGGAACACCAGUGGCGAUGGCGGCUUACUGGACUGUAACUGCCGUUGAGGCUCGAAAGCGUGGGAGCAAACAGGAUUAGAUACCCUUGUAGUC
rnacentral:rRNA from 1 species